rnacentral:lncRNA from 1 species
ACAUCAGAAACAUCAAAUGACAAAGCUCAUUCGUGAAAAAAGGAAAGGAAAGGAGUCUUGGAACAAGCCAGGGAACUUCUUGAGACAUGCUGUUGUCAGUGCUGUCCUCAACCGCUUGCCCUUAAGUAUACAGCAAGGUCUUACAAAACCAGAAGCUGCUGUAGCUCACUGACACUGCUUCAGGUAAUAAUGGUAUGUUCAUUUAAUAUUGUCAUUAUUAAAAUAUUGGUUACACAGUGAUAUUUUGUUUGUAAAAGUAUAUGUCAUAAUACAAAUUUGAAUUACAGAAUCUGGUGGUAACAUUAUAUUAUGGAGCAUUAUGGUGUAAUGAGAACUACAAUGCAGUUAUUUUUAUAAUUAAUUGAGCAAAGAUCAAGAUUAUAUAAAUUUAUAUAAUAGCUCAAGAUUGGUGUUUUGUGGCUUUUAGUCUAAAUAUUUUAGAUUUGAUGCUGUCAUAAUCUCAGCCUGUGUUCCCCGUCUUGUGUUUUGUACUCUUAUUUUGAAAUGUAUUUCCGCAGUGUUUCUGUGCUCUAUUCCUGUGUUCUGUGUUUGCCUUGUUAAUCUCCAUGACAAGUAUUCACCCACACCUGUCCCUUGUUAACCAUGGUUAACUUGUGCAUAUAUACCCCUGUGUUUCCUUUGUUUGUUGGUCAGUCGUUGUUUCUUGUAGAUGCUUGUGUUCUAUGUUUCUGAUCUGCUCCUGUUCCAUGUUAUCUUGGUUUACCCAUGUUUCGUUUAAUUUUAUUUAGUAAAUAAACCUUCUCUGCGAUUAGAUCCACCUCAUCUCUCUUUUGGCCCCAGCAUUACAGAGGCCAUUCAUAUGCUAUUGUAUUCAUAAAAGUUCACUCAAAAUCAGACAGCUCUAUAUUGUUUAUGAUUUACUCACCCUCAAGCCAUCCGAGGUGUAUAUGACUUUCUUCUUUCAGACGAAUACAAUCAGAGUUAUAUUAAAAAGAAUAUCCUAACUCUUCAAAGCUUUAUAAUGGCAGUGAAUGGGUGUUGAUAUUCAAUAGUCCAAUAGAAGUCUAAUAAAGUGCACCAUCCAUCAUAAAAAAUAUUUGAAUUGAUGUGUUUGAGUAAGAAAAAUAUCCAUAUUUAAAACUUUAUAAACAGUGUAUGCAUUCACGAGAGAGUAGAAUGUAGGAUGAUGUAGG